AGUCGAACGAUGAAGCCCUUCGGGGUGGAUUAGUGGCGAACGGGUGAGUAACACGUGGGCAAUCUGCCCUUCACUCUGGGACAAGCCCUGGAAACGGGGUCUAAUACCGGAUAAUACCUGCCUGGGCAUCUGGGUGGGUUAAAAGCUCCGGCGGUGAAGGAUGAGCCCGCGGCCUAUCAGCUUGUUGGUGAGGUAGUGGCUCACCAAGGCGACGACGGGUAGCCGGCCUGAGAGGGCGACCGGCCACACUGGGACUGAGACACGGCCCAGACUCCUACGGGAGGCAGCAGUGGGGAAUAUUGCACAAUGGGCGAAAGCCUGAUGCAGCGACGCCGCGUGAGGGAUGACGGCCUUCGGGUUGUAAACCUCUUUCAGCAGGGAAGAAGCGAAAGUGACGGUACCUGCAGAAGAAGCGCCGGCUAACUACGUGCCAGCAGCCGCGGUAAUACGUAGGGCGCAAGCGUUGUCCGGAAUUAUUGGGCGUAAAGAGCUCGUAGGCGGCUUGUCACGUCGGUUGUGAAAGCCCGGGGCUUAACCCCGGGUCUGCAGUCGAUACGGGCAGGCUAGAGUGUGGUAGGGGAGAUCGGAAUUCCCUGGUGUAGCGGUGAAAUGCGCAAAAUAUCAGGAGGAACACCGGUGGCGAAGGCGGAUCUCUGGGCCAUUACUGACGCUGAGGAGCGAAAGCGUGGGGAGCGAACAGGAUUAGAUACCCUGGUAGUCCACGCCGUAAACGGUGGGAACUAGGUGUUGGCGACAUUCCACGUCGUCGGUGCCGCAGCUAACGCAUUAAGUUCCCCGCCUGGGGAGUACGGCCGCAAGGCUAAAACUCAAAGGAAUUGACGGGGGCCCGCACAAGCAGCGGAGCAUGUGGCUUAAUUCGACGCAACGCGAAGAACCUUACCAAGGCUUGACAUCGCCCGGAAAGCAUCAGAGAUGGUGCCCCCCUUGUGGUCGGGUGACAGGUGGUGCAUGGCUGUCGUCAGCUCGUGUCGUGAGAUGUUGGGUUAAGUCCCGCAACGAGCGCAACCCUUGUUCUGUGUUGCCAGCAUGCCCUUCGGGGUGAUGGGGACUCACAGGAGACUGCCGGGGUCAACUCGGAGGAAGGUGGGGACGACGUCAAGUCAUCAUGCCCCUUAUGUCUUGGGCUGCACACGUGCUACAAUGGCAGGUACAAUGAGCUGCGAAGCCGCGAGGCGGAGCGAAUCUCAAAAAGCCUGUCUCAGUUCGGAUUGGGGUCUGCAACUCGACCCCAUGAAGUCGGAGUUGCUAGUAAUCGCAGAUCAGCAUUGCUGCGGUGAAUACGUUCCCGGGCCUUGUACACACCGCCCGUCACGUCACGAAAGUCGGUAACACCCGAAGCCGGUGGCCCAACCCCUUGUGGGAGGGAG
rnacentral:rRNA from 1 species